rnacentral:tRNA from 1 species
GUAGUGGUGGUUCAAUGGUAGAACUCUUGCCUUCCAUGCAGGAGACCUGAGUUCAAUUCCCAGGCAAUUCA